GUUUGAUCCUGGCUCAGGACGAACGCUUGCGGCGUGCUUAACACAUGCAAGUCGAACGGAAAGGCCCUUCGGGGUACUCGAGUGGCGAACGGGUGAGUAACACGUGGGUGAUCUGCCCUGCACUUUGGGAUAAGCCUGGGAAACUGGGUCUAAUACCGAAUAGGACCACGCGCUUCAUGGUGUGUGGUGGAAAGCUUUUGCGGUGUGGGAUGGGCCCGCGGCCUAUCAGCUUGUUGGUGGGGUAAUGGCCUACCAAGGCGACGACGGGUAGCCGGCCUGAGAGGGUGACCGGCCACACUGGGACUGAGAUACGGCCCAGACUCCUACGGGAGGCAGCAGUGGGGAAUAUUGCACAAUGGGCGCAAGCCUGAUGCAGCGGCGCCGCGUGAGGGAUGACGGCCUUCGGGUUGUAAACCUCUUUCAAUAGGGACGAAGCGUGAGUGACGGUACCUAUAGAAGAAGCACCGGCCAACUACGUGCCAGCAGCCGCGGUAAUACGUAGGGUGCGGGCGUUGUCCGGAAUUACUGGGCGUAAAGAGCUCGUAGGUGGUUUGUCGCGUUGCUCGUGAAAACUCACAGCUUAACUGUGGGCGUGCGGGCGAUACGGGCAGACUAGAGUACUGCAGGGGAGACUGGAAUUCCUGGUGUAGCGGUGGAAUGCGCAGAUAUCAGGAGGAACACCGGUGGCGAAGGCGGGUCUCUGGGCAGUAACUGACGCUGAGGAGCGAAAGCGUGGGGAGCGAACAGGAUUAGAUACCCUGGUAGUCCACGCCGUAAACGGUGGGUACUAGGUGUGGGUUCCUUCCUUGGGAUCCGUGCCGUAGCUAACGCAUUAAGUACCCCGCCUGGGGAGUACGGCCGCAAGGCUAAAACUCAAAGGAAUUGACGGGGGCCCGCACAAGCGGCGGAGCAUGUGGAUUAAUUCGAUGCAACGCGAAGAACCUUACCUGGGUUUGACAUGCACAGGACGCCGGCAGAGAUGUCGGUUCCCUUGUGGCCUGUGUGCAGGUGGUGCAUGGCUGUCGUCAGCUCGUGUCGUGAGAUGUUGGGUUAAGUCCCGCAACGAGCGCAACCCUUGUCCUAUGUUGCCAGCGGGUUAUGCCGGGGACUCGUAGGAGACUGCCGGGGUCAACUCGGAGGAAGGUGGGGAUGACGUUAAGUCAUCAUGCCCCUUAUGUCCAGGGCUUCACACAUGCUACAAUGGCCGGUACAAAGGGCUGCGAUGCCGUGAGGUGGAGCGAAUCCUUUCAAAGCCGGUCUCAGUUCGGAUCGGGGUCUGCAACUCGACCCCGUGAAGUCGGAGUCGCUAGUAAUCGCAGAUCAGCAACGCUGCGGUGAAUACGUUCCCGGGCCUUGCACUCACCGCCCGUCAAG
rnacentral:rRNA from 1 species